CACACGGCAAAGUCAGCCCUCAAAGUUCAUGGGAACCCCGUCUUCCCAGAUGGGUCGUUUGCCGUGUGGUAGCCCGGGUUUUCAGCUGUCCGGGAUCGCAGUCCUACAAAACCCCAGGGUGCAGCGAUGCCCUCGGGGUUCCCGAGCCUCGCACUGAAUACUCCCAGGGUUCAAGGUUGUCUGAAUUCUGUCGUCACUGCACUGAAUAUUCCCGGGGUUCAAGGUUGUCUGAAUUCUGUCGUCACUUCCCUUGUUGCCACUCCUGCCUGUCACCUCUGGUCUCAGUUAGUGACUUGCCGGUAACCUCUGGUCUCUGCUUCUGUUCUGCUGCGUCUGCGGGUCACAGCUGGCUUUGGAGCAGAAUGUCAAGCGUAAGUCCCUGGCCUUGGAUGGAGCAUCAAAGGGCCGAUGUGUGGGACAAACGGUUAGGACGAAGAAUCCGAAGAAAAGAACCUCAAAGCCUGGCUGUCUGGAGAUCCCGGGUGCAAAUUUCCACUCGGGCGGUCGCUUCCUCUGUGACCUUGACCCGGCCCCAUCCCCUUACAGGGCCUCAGUUUCCUCGUCUGUAAAAUGGGAUGUUGUACUGGACCGGUGGUUUCGUUUCAACCAAUCUAUGAAAAGGAGAGUAGAGCGACUCAACUGGGGUGUCAGGUUAGCACGCUUGCUUCCUCUUUCUCCAUGUGUAUCCGUCUCGUGCAUGCACGUCCACACCCAGGCACCCUUGCACCUCCGUGUAAGCCUUUGUGUGGAACCAUCCGGAAGUGGCAGACACCAGGACCCUCCGUCCCCAGAUUCUUCUGCCUGCAUUUCUUCCUGAGAAUGUGAGCAUUCUGCAUAAUCACAAUAGUAUUAUCACAGUAAGAAAAUUAAAGACGAUUCCAGGGUGGGGCGCCUGGCUGGCUCAGUCAGUUAAGCAUCCGACUCUUGACCUCGGCCCACGUCGCGGCCUCACAGCUCGUGACUUCAGACACCACAUCGGGCUCUGCACUGGUGGCGAGGAGCCUGCUUGGAAUUCUGUCUCUCCUUCUCUCUGCCCUUCCCCCUCUUGUUCUCUCUCUCUCUCCCUCCCUCUCUCUCUCUCUCCCUCCCUCUCUCUCUCUCUCUCUCACUCCCUUUCUCAAAAUGAAUAAAUAAACAUAAUUUUUUUUUUUUUUUAAUUCCAGGGCGCCUACAUGGCUCAGUCAGUUGAGCAUCUGACUUCAGGCCAGGUCGUGAUCUCACGGUUUGUGGGUUCAAACCCCGCAUCAGGCUCUCUGCUGUCAGCUCAGAGCCUGCUUCAGAUCCUCUGUGCCCCCCCUCCCCUGCCCCUCC
rnacentral:lncRNA from 1 species